rnacentral:rRNA from 1 species
UAAUACGUAGGUGGCAAGCGUUAUCCGGAUUUACUGGGUGUAAAGGGCGUGUAGGCGGGACAGCAAGUCAGAUGUGAAAAUUAUGGGCUCAACCCAUAACCUGCAUUUGAAACUGUUGUUCUUGAGUGUCGGAGAGGUAAUCGGAAUUCCGUGUGUAGCGGUGAAAUGCGUAGAUAUACGGAGGAACACCAGUGGCGAAGGCGGAUUACUGGACGAUAACUGACGCUGAGGCGCGAAAGCGUGGGGAGCAAACAGG